CCUGACAUUACGUUGACGCAGGAGUUGAACUCAGUUCAACUCUAACGUAAAGCAUGCGUGAAAAGGUCAAAUUGCUCAUGCUUUUGAUUAAAAGUUGACAGUACAUUGGCCUAGCAUCAUAUCGUAAAUCCACCUGCUAAAAUGAGCUCCUUGGUGGUUUAAAGAUUGUUUACAUAGUCAAGUACUGCAGCUGCUUCACAGUUUAUAUAGGUAAAACUAAGUUUACGUUACUCCAUAAAAAUUUUUGGAGGGGCAUUGCCUCCCCUGACCCCCUUAGAUCUGCCACUGUUGCACACUUUUAUUGUGCUUCUGCUUCUUAUAAAAUAAAAAUAAGUUUACAAUUUGUGGUGACAUACAUGGAUAUAGUAUUAUGAUCUUUAUAAUAUAUUUGAACUCAAUGGCAUACCUUCAAUGGAGAAUCCUUAUCUUUUUAAUGGAGAUUUUGUUGAUCGUGGAUCCUUCUCUGUGGAGGUUAUUUUAACUCUCUUUGGUUUUAAGGUUUUAUAUCUUAAUCUCUUUUACUGAUAAGAAGUUUGAAAUAUACUGUAUAUUCAUUAUGUAUGUAUAAUAUGAAUAUUUAUUAAUACCGUAUAGCAGGAAAUUUUUGUUGCCAGAAACUUUCUUCAUCUUGCUUUACAAGAUAUUUUUGUUGCGUUUUGCCUAACAUAAAUUUUCACUGUCACGCCCACUUUAUUAGUGCCAUGUCUAUUGUUUAAUGGAAGAAUGUCUAUGGUUUGUGGUUACCACAUUUAUAAAGA